rnacentral:ncRNA from 1 species
UUCAUCAAGAGUAGCUGAGGGACAUGGCCCAGUGAAGCUACGGCAACCAUCCAUUGGGAACGGUGCCAAAUCCAGCGGGAGACCCGGAAGAUGAA